rnacentral:lncRNA from 1 species
AUAGCACAAGAAAAUACUACAGAAUGAGAUCUGAACUUACAUCAUGUAUCCCUCUCAGCUGUGAGACCCACACCACACUUGGAUUUCACAGAUACAACAACUAAUUUCCCUGAAAUUUUUCUCAUAUUAGACACCAGCUAGUUUGAGUUAGGAUUCACCAUUUUCAACUAAAACAUUCUGAUUAAUAUACUGCUUAUUUUAUAAUUAAAAAAAUCUCCAUAUCCUAGACUUUUCCAUGAAAAUCAUUUCCUAAAGAAAUAGCUUGUGUUAAAGCUACACAGAAUCAAAGUCAAAAUCACCUCUCUAUCUUACACAUAGAAAUAAGAUUCCUCAUUUCUCUAGUAUCAUAAGUUUUCUUUUAUGACACAUAGAGUAUAGGUUUCCUCUUUUAUUUUCCUGUUAGAAGGAAAAUAUCCUGUUAGUUAUCUGUUGCCAUAGUGCGUUCUUAUCCAUGGCCAUGGUCAAUGUGUAUUCUUUCUAUCACAGGUGGAGUCACUUCAAGGCCCCUGUAUGUCAGAUCUUUCUCAAUCCCCAGGUUCUGUCCUGUCACUGCUGAUGGGGAACAUUUGUUCAGUAGCUACAUUGCUCACCCUCAAGAAGUCCUAGAGAAUGGAUCCUCUCUGACCUCUCCUCUAAUUCUGUUAGCUCUUUUCAUCCUUUAUGUUUUGACCAGGAACUUGACAUCUAUCACAGUACCAAUAGGUUUGCAUGAUGGGUUGUGGGAAUGAAGGGUUUUUGCAGGUUGUCUCUUCUGGUUUCCAUGAAGUGAGAUUUUUCUGAACACUCCUAGAUUCUAGCUCCAUUAUCACAUGCUCUUUCACAAGGGAAGCUGGAGUAACUUUGGUGAAACAUUUUCUACUCUAUUCUACCACAUUAUAAAUCUUAUAUGGAUUGGUUCCCUUUGCAGAAAGCCUAUAAUAACUCUUGUGAUUAAACGGAUGAGGCUCUAAUUCAGGGUUUCACUACUAAGAUGCUUACUGAAGACUUAACAUCCAAUCUAGGUUCUAUCAGUAAUAAAGUAAUCUGCCUGACUCAUUUCUGUCUAUUGUCUCACUUUAUACUGAAUAGAAACAGAGAAAAGGGUACUAUAUUGUGAGCUCCCCAAUUCUAAACAUGCUCUUAUCAUAUUCUCUAAGCCAUAAUCCUUGACUAUGAAGCCUGAAUUCCUGCACCGUUAUUUAGCAUCAAAUUCCUACACCUUGCCUGAGUUUUGGUGUCAUAUCCAGGGAUUCUGUGAUACUUUCACAGUACCUAGUUCCUUGUACUUCUGCCUACAUUCUCUGAUAUCAUCUUCUGUCCAAUUUUAAGAUUACUUAUCAGUUAACUUUUCUUAGGAUAUUACUACUUCUCUGAACUCUUUUCUCUUGAGAUAUGUGACUCAACAUUUCCUGAUCUUCUAGCAACCCUUGCUGUCUCUCUUUGUCUAAGUCCUCUUCUUUCAUCAACCAAUAAAUAGUAGAGUUCCUUAAUUCUCUGUUCUGGGCUUUCUUACCUUCCCUCUGCACUCUCUUGUUCAAUUAUUUAAAUGAUGUCUUUGUGAGAGUUAACAAAAUGUGUAUUCCAGAGCCAACCAUUUCUUUGUGUUCCACAUUCAUAUGUCCACCUUUCACAUCCGGGGUGGAGUAUCUUUCAGGAAUAUUAAACUUACACUCAUAACUGAACUCUUGGUUUACUUUCCAUUCAAGUCAGACUUCUUUCUCUGUUUUUCUCCUCUACUCUUGUAUCAUCACCAUUCACCUUAAGACAAAACUUGAGAAUCAUUUUUUUUUAAAGUUUUAUUGAAGUGGUUGACUUACAAUGUUGUGAUAAUUUCUGCUGUACAACAGAGUGAUUCAGGUAUAUGUAUACACACAUCCUUUUUUUUCAGAUUAUUUUUCCAUAUAAAUUAUCACAGAAUAUUGGGUAGAGUUCCCUGUGCUACACGGUAGUUCCCCAUUGGCUGAUCAUUCAAUAUACCACAGUGUACAUAUGUCAUUCCCAAACCCCCAAUCCAUCCUUCCUUCUACCUGUCCCCUUUAUAACCAGAAGUUUGUUUCCAAAGUCUAUGAGUCUGUUUCAAUUCUUCAAAUAAGUUUAUUUGUACCCUUUUUUUAAGAUUCCACAUAUAAGUGAUAUCAUAUAAUAUUUGUCUUUCUAUGUCUGACUUACUUCACUUGGUAAGAUAAUCUCUAGGUCCAUCCAUGUUGCUGAAAAUGUCACUAGUUAAUUAUUUCUGAUUGACGAGUAAUAUUCCAUUGUGUGUGUGUGUGUGUGUGUGUGUGUGUGUGUGUGUGUACCACAUCUUCUUUAUCCAUUCCUCUGUUGACAGAUAUUUAGGUUUCUUCUGUGUCUUAGCUAUUGUAAAUUGUUCUGCAGUGAACAUUGGGGUCCAUGUAUCUUUUUGAAUUAUGGUUUUCUCCAGGUAAAUGCCCAAAAGUGCAAUUGCUGGAUCAUAGGAUAGUUCUAUUUUAGUUUUUUAGGAACCUCUAUAUUUUUUUACAUAGUGGUUGUACCAGUUUACAUUCCCACCAAGAGCGUACUAGGGUUCCCCUUUCUCUGCACCCUCUCCAGCAUUUAUUUUGUAGACUUUUUGAUGAUGGCCAUAGCAGUUUUGGUUUGCAUUUCUCUAAUAAUCAGCAAUGUUAAACAUCCUUUUAUGUGUUUUUUGGCUAUCUGUAUGUACUCUUUGGAGAAAUGGCUAAAUCUUCUGUCCAUUUUUUUUUGUUUUUUUUCUUUGAUAUUGAGCUGCAGGAGGUAUUUGUAUACUUUGGAGAAUAAUCCCUUGUCAGCUGCUUCAUUUGCAGAUAUUUUCUCCCAAUCUGUGCCAAAGCAAACCUAAGGAAGAAAAAUGGAGCUGGAGGAAUCAGGCUCCGUGACUUCAGGCUGUAUUUCAAAGAUAUAGUCUUCAAAACAGUAUGAUACUGGCACAGAAACUGAAAUAUAGGUCAGUGGAACAGGAUUGAAAGCCCAGAAAUAAAGUCACACAUCUGUAGCCAACUAAUCUAUGAGAAAAGAGUCAGUAAUAUACAGUGGAGAAGAGAUAUUCUCUUCAAUAAGUGGUGCUGGGAAGACUGGCCCACUCCAUGUAAAAGAAUGAAAAUUGAACACUCAUGUGUCUUUAUUUCUAAUAAUAGGAUGAAAGAAAAUAUUUCUUGACAAUAUUAAUUUAACUUGUUUUUCAGGCUUUCUGUUAACUUAAUGAGAAAAACCCUUGUGAUUUGAACAGUGAAUCCCCCCCCUUUUUUUUAAUAAGGCCAUUUGAUUCAACAGGACUUCAAAGAUGAAUGGGUAAAGAUGUAAAUUAAUUUAAUGGAUAAGCCACUAAAGGGCUGAUUAGGAGCUAGUUAUUGACACUUCUGUAGCUGCUUGUAAAAUACAUCCAACAACUUGAGGUGAUAGGAAAACAUAGAGACAACAGGGCUUUUUUCAAGACUCUUGAAAAUAAAGAGAGUAUAAGUGGUCACAUUUAUCUUAAAAUAGUCAUUCUGAAUAGUGUGUUAAUAAUUAAACCUUUGUGUCCUAAAAAUACAUGCAUAAUACUCCAAGGCACUGUUAAUCAAAUAUGCCUCCCAGAAACUGGCAGCAAUUCUUUUGAUGAUCUGUUGCUGGUGCUUUGCAAGGCAAAAGGCACCCUCUUGGUAUUGUUAAAAUCAAUUUUCUUUCACAAGAGGUAAUUGUUCUCUGUCACUUUUGCAUAAAUUUAGGAUUUAAUUUCAUAAUUUAAGGUCUUAUAAAAACUGUCUGUUUUAUCUGUAUAUGAAUAAAUGUAAAAAUGUGUGCAUAUAUUCAUAACAUUUAAAACAUAUAACAGAGAUCUGUUAGUAAUUGCAAUAAAAUUUUAGAGUCCAAGGUAUUUAAUCUCAAAUAUCCACUAUCCAAACUGAUGAACUACCUAUUUGAUUACUUCUUGAAAAUUUAACACCAGUGCAUUUUUGAAUUAUUAUGAGUUAUGAUGAGAAUCCAGUUGGCAUAUUACUUUCACUUAACAUGAUUCUUUCUAUUCAUUAUGAGGCAACUUAAAAAAUUAUGUCUUUUUCAGUGCCCAUCUCUUAAAUCUUUCUUUCAAUUGUUCCGAAGUAUUAUUAAGUUACUACUUAGCUUUGGGUAAUAUAUCAUGAGUAGACUGAAAGAAAUUUGCGAAUUCGUAGAUUUAGUUUUUCACAAUGUUCCAUAAGCUUUAUUAUCUUUCUUUUUCCUUCACUGACCCAGCCAAUCAGUUUUUCUUUUGUUUCCGUGUUUAUAUCAGAUAAUUACACUGUUGCUAAUCUUUGUAAUUACUUCUGUUUGUAUUAUUGAGCAUAGAAAAAAAAGAAUGAGUGGGGAAAAUUUGGGUUUGACAAAAUUUGAUCCCCCCUUUCGGCCUUUUCCAUUCCGUCCUCCCCUGUUCACAUUCUCCAUCAGUCUCCACUUUGGGAAGCAACAAGAUUAACUACCUCUCUCACUCAGUACUUCCUUGAUUUUCCUGUUCUCAAAGCUAAGUAGAUUAAAACUUAAUUUUUGUGAUAUAUAUAUGUCAUAAAGUGCAUAUGUGGUAUAAUCACUACACACAAAAAUCUGAUUAUUCAAUGUCUAGAAACAGAUAAAACAAUGCUAAUAAUAACAAAUAAAAUCUUGUAUACUUGUAAUCAACUCUCUCCACCCAAAAACAAAACAAAACAAAACACUACCAGUUAUCACAGAACCCCCUAUGUUUUCUUCCCUUGUCUCAUUUCAUCUCUACUUCCUAGAGUUAAGAGCUGUUCUAAAGUUGGUGCAUAGUUCCUUGAUAUUCUUUUUAAAUACUUGCAAUCAUCUAUGUAGGUUUCCUUAAUGUAUGCUUUGUUUAAUUUUCCAUGUUUUAAAUUUAUUCGAGUUAAUUUACGGUAUGUAUUCUUCUGUGAUUCACUUCUUUCAUUUAUCACUAAAAGAUGGUAAUGCACCUAUGUCAAUGUAUGUAGCCCUGUCUGAUGUCUUCUUAUUGCAGUUUUGUUUAAUGAUUGGCCCAGUUCUUUACAGCUCCCUCCAUCCACAUCCUUGUAAGGCCUCAUCAUGAACAACUACACAUUGUUCUACAUUAAAUUUGGGCUUGACCAUGACAUGUUGACAUGUUUGGCUUUGAACUGAACAAAAUCUUAAAAUAUGUGGUAUUGGACUUGCAGAACUAGUUAAGGACAAAACCAUUGAAACUUUUUGUUAAGAACUUCAGAAGAGUUAUGGUGACAACUUUUUGUCAUUUCAACUGGAAAUAAGUUCAAAGAAAGAUUGAGAGAAUAGUCUUACAGAAGCCUGAUGUGUUCCAAGUAUUUCUACUUAACUCUAGAGAGAGGCACAUCUUAACAAGAAUUCUGUAUGUGACUUUUGGCACACUAAUUUGAUUAGAACCAAAUAUCUCAAAGUUUUUUUAGAGAAAGCCAUAUGGGCAAAAGUAUUGACAGCUUGAACUAAAAGAGAGUGAGACAGUAAGUAACAUAAGAAGAUAUCUGAGCCCCCAACUUUCUACAGGCAGGGAGUAGGGUGU